GAUGAACGCUGGCGGCGUGCCUAAUACAUGCAAGUCGAGCGAACAGACGAGGAGCUUGCUCCUCUGACGUUAGCGGCGGACGGGUGAGUAACACGUGGAUAACCUACCUAUAAGACUGGGAUAACUUCGGGAAACCGGAGCUAAUACCGGAUAAUAUAUUGAACCGCAUGGAUCAAUAGUGAAAGACGGUUUUGCUGUCACUUAUAGAUGGAUCCGCGCCGCAUUAGCUAGUUGGUAAGGUAACGGCUUACCAAGGCAACGAUGCGUAGCCGACCUGAGAGGGUGAUCGGCCACACUGGAACUGAGACACGGUCCAGACUCCUACGGGAGGCAGCAGUAGGGAAUCUUCCGCAAUGGGCGAAAGCCUGACGCAGCAACGCCGCGUGAGUGAUGAAGGUCUUCGGAUCGUAAAACUCUGUUAUUAGGGAAGAACAAAUGUGUAAGUAACUAUGCACGUCUUGACGGUACCUAAACAGAAAGCCACGGCUAACUACGUG
rnacentral:rRNA from 1 species